CCAAAAUGUGCGUCAUGGUUUCGUCACUCGGGUGGAUAAUAAGGGAAAAUUGAGGACAAAUAACAACGACAAAACAACAAAUAGCUGCAGCUGGGAUGGAGGGUUCCCAGUUGGUUCUCACCCACGGGCUGACUGGGAGAUGUCUGCUCCAAGCAACACUGAAAGAUCAGCUGCAGAGUGGCAUCAACUGGAGUGGAAAUGAUCCAAAUGAUGGCAAAGUGCCGCUAAUUGCCUCUCAAGGUGGUCUUUGUUUUGUUUCACCUCUCUCGCCACAGCCGCUGCCUCUAUAGGACGAGCUCUCUAAAACCCCAGAAGGGCUGCAAUUACAUUAUCAGCCUUUAUGAAAUGAAUCAUCCAAACUAUUAAAAAAGAGAA